UUUCCGUAGGUGAACCUGCGGAAGGAUCAUUAUUGAAUAAACAGUGUGGGUUGUUGCUGGCCUUCUGGCAUGUGCACGCCUGCCAUAUGUUUCAUUCCCUUCUUUCCACCUGUGCACUAUGUGUAGGCUAUGUAUGCUGUAUUGUCAGGCCCUUCAUAAGGCUUGGUUUAGAGAGGAUGCUUGUCUUUAUGAGACAGGCUCAUCUUGGGCGUACAGGUCUUUGUUUUACACCAACACCAAAUGAAUGUCUUAGAAUGUAUUUUUUCAGGCUCUUGCUAGCCUUUAAACCAUAUACAACUUUCAACAACGGAUCUCUUGGCUCUC
rnacentral:misc_RNA from 1 species